rnacentral:rRNA from 1 species
GGAUUAGAUACCCUGGUAGUCCACGCCGUAAACGAUGAGCACUAGUUGUUGCGGGUAUUGACCCCUGCAGUGACGACGCUAACGCAUUAAGUGCUCCGCCUGGGGACUACGGCCGCAAGGCUAAAACUCAAAGGAAUUGACGGGGGCCCGCACAAGCGGUGGAGUAUGUGUUUAAUUCGACUACGCGCAGAACCUUACCCGGCCUUGACAUCGAGGGAAAGCCCUAUGAAAGUAGGGCCCUCACCUUCGGGUGACCCAAAGACAGGUGCUGCAUGGCUGUCGUCAGCUCGUGCCG